rnacentral:rRNA from 1 species
CAAGCGAAAGCAUUAAGUGAGCCACCUGGGGAGUACGAUCGCAAGGUUGAAACUCAAAGGAAUUGACGGGGGCCCGCACAAGCGGAGGAACAUGUGGUUUAAUUGGAUGAUACGCGAGGAACCUUACGUGGGCUUAAAUGCAGAGUGACAGAUUGUGAAAGCAGUCCUUCUUCGGACACUCUGCAAGGUGCUGCAUGGUUGUCGUCAGCUCGUGCCGUGAGGUGUCGGGUUAAGUCCCAUAACGAGCGCAACCCUUAUCGUUAGUUGCCAGCGGGUCAUGCCGGGGACUCUAGCGAGACUGCCACCGUAAGGUGUGAGGAAGGUGGGGAUGACGUCAAAUCAGCACGGCCCUUAUGUCCAGGGCUACACACGUGUUACAAUGGCCGGUACAAAGGGCAGCUACCCCGUGAGAGGAUGCUAAUCUCGAAAGCCGGUCUCAGUUCGGAUCGAAGUCUGCAACCCGACUUCGUGAAGCUGGAUUCGCUAGUAAUCGCAUAUCAGCCAUGAUGCGGUGAAUACGUUCCCGG